rnacentral:rRNA from 1 species
CGGGGGGGGCAAGCGUUGUUCGGAAUUACUGGGCGUAAAGGGCUUGUAGGUGGCCAACUAAGUCAAACGUGAAAUCCCUCGGCUUAACCGGGGAACUGCGUCUGAUACUGGAUGGCUUGAGUUUGGGAGAGGGACGCGGAAUUCCAGGUGUAGCGGUGAAAUGCGUAGAUAUCUGGAGGAACACCGGUGGCGAAGGCGGCGUCCUGGACCAAUACUGACACUGAAAAGCGAAAGCCAGGGGAGCAAACGGGAUUAGAUACCCCGGUAGUCCUGGCCCUAAACGAUGAAUGCUUGGUGUGGCGGGUAUCGAUCCCUGCCGUGCCGAAGCUAACGCAUUAAGCAUUCCGCCUGGGGAGUACGGUCGCAAGGCUG